UAACAAUGAUUUCCCUAGUAACGGCGAGUGAAGAGGAAAGAGCUCAAAGUUGGAAUCCGGCUGCCUUAGGUAGUUGGAAUUGUAAACUGGAGAGGUGUUUUCCAGGCGAGCCGAGCAAAUAAGUCCUUUGGAACAGGGCAUCAUAGAGGGUGAGAAUCCCGUCUUUGGCUUGAGCAUUGCCUUUUGCGAUACACUUUCAAAGAGUCAGGUUGUUUGGGAAUGCAGCCUAAAUUGGGUGGUAAAUCUCACCUAAAGCUAAAUAUUGGCGAGAGACCGAUAGCGAACAAGUACCGUGAGGGAAAGAUGAAAAGAACUUUGAAAAGAGAGUUAAACAGUAUGUGAAAUUGUUGAAAGGGAACCGUUUGGAGCCAG
rnacentral:rRNA from 1 species